UACGUAGGGACCAAGCGUUGUCCGGAUUUAUUGGGCGUAAAGCGCGUGUAGGCGGCCAGGUAGGUCCGCUGUGAAAACCCGAGGCUCAACCUCGGGACGUCGGCGGAAACCAUUUGGCUAGAGUCCGGAAGAGGAGAGUGGAAUUCCCGGUGUAGCGGUGAAAUGCGCAGAUAUCGGGAAGAACACCCGUGGCGAAGGCGGCUCUCUGGGACGGUACUGACGCUGAGACGCGAAAGCGUGGGGAGCGAACAGG
rnacentral:rRNA from 1 species